AUGCUACUCCCUCCGUUCCGACUUACUUGUCGCAGGUAUGGAUGUAUCUAGAUGUAUUUUAGGUCUAGAUACAUCCAUUCUGCGACGAGUAAUUUGAAACGGAGGAAAUACACG
rfam:Triticum aestivum genome assembly, contig: Triticum_aestivum_CS42_TGACv1_scaffold_211923_3AS